AUAAAACCAUGGAAAAUGAUCAAAUUAUUAUUGGAAGAACUCUGUAACAUUAAGAGAAGAAAGCCUCGGAGCCAGAGGAAUAAAGCAAAAUAUAAACCCCACCAGCAGCAUCACUCCUUUUGUCUGCAGCAUGUAAAAAAAAAAAAAACCCCCCCCCCCCCCCCCCCCCCCCCCCCCCCCCCCCCCCCCCCCCCCCCCCCCCCCCCCCCCCCCCCCCCCCCCCCCCAAAAAAAAAAAAAAAAACCCAACAAAACGCUGCAGGAAUCGUUCUGGAUCGAGUCGUGUCGGCUCGAAAAGAAGCGAUCCCGGCUGGAUCUUUAGUUCGGGGCUGAGUUUUAGCAGCGCUGACAUUUCUGCAGCUGCCGGGCACGAAGGUGGCUGGGAAUCGCCCCGAACCUGCGCGCCUGCAAUUCUGGAGCGGCGAGGGAAGAAGGGAAAAGGGUGGGGGGGACUCGUUCUCCCCCAGCCGCUAUUCCCUCCUCUGUUCCCUCCUUUUCUCCUCGCCACAACCUCGCCAUUCCCCCCGCAAAAUCAGCCUCGGGGGAGCGCAGAAUGCGCGCUCCCCCCUCCCCAUUAUUCCCGUGCCCUGCGCUCCUUUUCGGGGCCACCUCGGCGCUGCCGCCCUGUCCCUUUAAAGCUCCAGCGCCUGUAAUUGAUGUGUCUGGGCCAGUCUAGACUGGGAGCGACUCGAGCCAUCCCAAUUAAAGUGCGCGCAGCAGCGCGGAGCCUGCGCGGGCUCCGUCCUCCCCCUUUUUUCCCCCUUUUUUUUUCCCCCCUUUUUCCCCACCCCAGCCCUCCCCGCCCAUUGUUUUGCCGCAGCACCGCGGACACAAUAGCGACCCCCGGGGAGGGGACAGCGGGGACAAGGGGGGGCCCCCAAAGCGGGGACCCCCUCCCCAAAAAGCGGAGGGUGCGCGGGGAUGCGCGGGGACCCAUCCCAGGCUCGCAGACAAAGCGAGCCCCUUCCCUCCCCGCGGAUGGGGGAAAAAAUCGGGGUUAAAAGCUUCGGGGAAGGGUAAAAACACCCCCAAAAACCCGACUUUUUGCGGGUGUGGUAACGGAUAAAGGUGCGGGGCUCCAGCGCUCCCGAUUCCAAUUUACAGCGCCGAGCAGGUAAUAGAAAAUGAAUGCGGCUCGCUUCGGAAUGAAAGGACGUUUGGGAUAAUACAGAAAUUCAGCAUGGAAAGGCUUUCUUGGCUUUUUUUUUUUCGCUCAGUGAAAUUACAGUAGCAUGAAAAAGCAGCGAAAAUUCAUAAAAAAAAAAUCAAAAUCAAACAAGCAACCUUUUCCAGUUCAAUAACUGUUAAACAGGAAGCAGCAAACAUAUCCUAAAGCUCUUAAAUACCAAAAGGUUACACCGUCAAUUAAUUUUUGGUGCAUCGUUUUAAGUUCAAGCAUUUGCAUUCAAAUAUCAAACAGUAAUUCGGUGCCAUAACAAGGUACAGUAACUCCAUUAUAAAUUGCCUUGCAGAACAGAGAUAAGAAAUACAGUUCCAACCAUAAUUAAUUUUACAGCAACAUAAAAAAAUCUAAUAAAGAAAAACAGCAGCAGCAGGAAACAUUUCGAACAUUUCUGAUUCAUCAUUUACAUAUCAUAUUGCCCGGAAAAAGCAGCAAAGCUGGAAGUUCUAGAAAAGGACUCGAAGAAAACUUCAACAUUUCUUUUUACUUUCCAACCAUUAAUACAUGCAACCAUUUUAUUCUGCGGUUUAUUUUUCCAACCUAUAAAAAUCCAACCCAUCUCCCCCCCCCCCCCCCCCCCCCCCCCCCCCCCCCCCCCCCCCCCCCCCCCCCCCCCCCCCCCCCCCCCCCCCCCCCCCCCCCCCCCCCCCCCCCCCCCCCCCCCCCCCCCCCUUUUUGGUGUGUCCAUAGAGCACAUUUCCAAGAUUAAUCGUUCAGUUUUAAACUUGGAAGCAUGAGGCAUGCUGGGAUUUCAGCUGAGGUCAAGCACCAAUGUACCGAGCUGUUACUGUUACGCUCUCAGGGUACUCUGUGUUGCUCUCAAGAAGGGGAGGAAGGCAAAAAAAAAAAAUAUAUAUAAAAAAAAUCAAAAUUGAGAUGCUCUAUGCAGUGGCCUGCAGCAAAAAAUCUCUCUCUUUCACCACAGGCGUGAUAUUAAUAUUCCUCUGUAUGGAGAUAUCUAUAUUUAUAGUUUUAUUUACCUAUAUUAAUGAAUAUAUCUGUGGAUCGCCACGCACACCUCAAUAACUGUAUUUACAUGUAUCCAUAUCAUGUAUAUCUUAUCUACACACGCAUAUAUAAUAAUCACCCUGUGUGUACACACAUACACCCCCAUAUCUGGAUCAGCUGGAAAAUUAUCUCGUGAAUAUACACACACACAUUAAAAAAGGAAAAAAAUGUAAAAAAAAAAAAUCUCUGCGCUACGAACGCUGAUUUUAAUUUGAUUUUUUAUACAGAAAAUGGCCAUAACCACCGCCCUACAGCAGCCGAUGGAGCCCAAGGAGGAGAAAUACACUUAUUUUUCCCUUAAAAGGUCUCUAAACACUAUUGUAUGUGUGUGUAUACGGCUCUAAAUAUACACACCCGCGCUCGCACAUAUACACAUAGAGAGAGGAUAUAUUUCUAAAAUAAAAUAAAGAUGUCAAAGCACAACUCACAGCUCCCAAGAGCCUAACCCGUGGAUUUAAAAGCUAAACAUCACAAGUUAGGGUCUCAGGGAUUGAGAGGGGCGCAACAAACUAGUCCUUGCAAAAAAAAAAAAAAAAAUUAAAAAAAAAAUUUAAAAAAUACCAAAACCAACGGGGAUCAAAAAAUAAUAACCAUAAAAAAAAAGAUCAAAAGGAGAAAGAGGAAAAGAAUAGCAGGCAAGUUCAAUUCAUGGCUCAAGAUUACAAAACAGGACACACAGGUGGAAGGAAAGAGCUUCUCUAAGGACCCUCUGUUGAGAGAAUACAUUCCAUUUUUAAUCGUUUAUACA
rnacentral:lncRNA from 1 species